rnacentral:rRNA from 1 species
UACGGGGGGGGCAAGCGUUGUUCGGAAUUACUGGGCGUAAAGGGCUCGUAGGCGGCCAACUAAGUCAGACGUGAAAUCCCUCGGCUUAACCGGGGAACUGCGUCUGAUACUGGAUGGCUUGAAUCCGGGAGAGGGAUGCGGAAUUCCAGGUGUAGCGGUGAAAUGCGUAGAUAUCGGGAGGAACAUCAGUGGCGAAGGCGGCUACCUGGCCCAAUACUGACACUCAGGUGCGACAGCGUGGGGAGCAAACAGG